GGAGGAAUGUAUAGCGAAAGCUAGUUGUAUUAACUUCGACUAGUUCGAGGUUAAUGCAGCAUCGACCAUGUCGAAUAAAGUUCUAGGUAGAGUUAUGAUAAUGACAUUUUCUAUCUAUGUGUCUUGACCAAGUCACGUGCCAGCAGUCGCGGUAAUACGUGGAAGACUAGUGUUAUUCAUCUUUAAUAGGUUUAAAGGGUACUUAGACGGUAAAUUUAGCCCAAAUAAAAACAAAGGGUACUAAUAAUACUAGAGUUUAAUGAGAGGGGGUGCGUACCAAUGGUGUAGAGAUGAAAUUCUGUCAUACCAUUAUGACGGGCAACGGCGAAAGCAACCCUUUAUGUAAAAACUGACGUUAAAGGACGAAGGCUUUGUGUCACCAACAGGAUUAGAUACCCAAGCAGUCUUAGCAGACAAUUCUGAAUGCCAUAGAUACGGAAAAAUAAAAAUAUUACCUUUUUAUUCUAAAAAUAAAAAAAAGGUAAAUAUUACCUUUUUAUUCAAUCUCUUUUUUUGUGAAGAUAAGAUAAGAAAAUAAUAAUAAAGGAUAUUCUUUGUCUAUAAAUGAAAGUGUAAGCAUUCCACCUCAAGAGUAAUGUGGCAACGCAGAAACUGAAAUCAUUAGACCGUUUCUGAAACCAGUAGUGAAGUAUGUUGUUUAAUUUGAUGGUCCGCACAAAACCUUACCACAAUUUGUAUAUUAUUAGCUUAGUACAAGAGUUGCACGGCUGUCUUCAGUUAAUGUCGUGAGAUUUGGUUAGUUCCAUAAAAUUAACGUAAACCCUUACUUUAUUUAUAUUAUAAAGUAGUUCACCGCUAUAUUGGAUAUGAUAAAA
rnacentral:rRNA from 1 species